AAGUCGUAACAAGGUUUCCGUAGGUGAACCUGCGGAAGGAUCAUUAAUGUAACCGGACCGGUCCUUUGCCGUAAAAAGCAACGGAUUGGAAAGGGAGAUAUUAUACACCCUGUGUUUAUUUACCUUUGUUGCUUUGGCGGGCCGUCCUUUUAGGCGUCGGCCCCGGCUGAUCGCGCCCGCCAGAGGACCUAAACUCUUUUAUCAGUGAUGUCUGAGUAUUAUAUAAUAGUUAAAACCUUCAACAACGGAUCUCUUGGUUCUGGCAUCGAUGAAGAACGCAGCGAAAUGCGAUAAGUAAUGUGAAUUGCAGAAUUCAGUGAAUCAUCGAAUCUUUGAACGCACAUUGCGCCCGCUGGUAUUCCGGCGGGCAUGCCUGUUCGAGCGUCAUUAUAACCACUCAAGCCUGGCUUGGUAUUGGGGUUUUCGCGUGUUCGCGGCCCUUAAAAUCAGUGGCGGUGCCGUCUGGCUCUAAGCGUAGUAAUUUCUCUCGCUAUAGGGUUCCGGUGGUUACUUGCCAAAACCCCCCAUUUUUUCUAGGUUGACCUCGGAUCAGGUAGGGAUACCCGCUGAACUUAA
rnacentral:rRNA from 1 species